GGCCAAGUUUUUAAGGGCGCACGGUGGAUGCCUUGGCACCAGGAACCGAUGAAGGACGUGGGAGGCCACGAUAGUCCCCGGGGAGUCGUCAACCAGGCUUUGAUCCGGGGGUUUCCGAAUGGGGAAACCCGGCAGUCGUCAUGGGCUGUCACCCGCUGCUGAACACAUAGGCAGUGUGGAGGGAACGCGGGGAAGUGAAACAUCUCAGUACCCGCAGGAAGAGAAAACAACCGUGAUUCCGGGAGUAGUGGCGAGCGAAACCGGAUGAGGCUAAACCGUUUACGUGUGAGACCCGGCAGGGGUUGCGUGAGCGGGGUUGUGGGUUCUUUCUUCUGUCGUCUGCCGGCGACAGGACGAGUCAGAAACCGUUGAUGUAGGCGAAGGACAUGCGAAAGGUCCGGCGUAGAGGGUAAGACCCCCGUAGUCGAAACAUCAGCGGCUCGUUUGAUUGAUACCCAAGUAGCACGGGGCCCGAGAAAUCCCGUGUGAAUCUGGCGGGACCACCCGCUAAGCCUAAAUAUUCCCUGGUGACCGAUAGCGGAUAGUACCGUGAGGGAAUGGUGAAAAGUACCCCGGGAGGGGAGUGAAAUAGUACCUGAAACCGUGUGCCUACAAGCCGUGGGAGCGUCGGAUGCAGCUUGCUGCAUCUCGUGACUGCGUGCCUUUUGAAGAAUGAGCCUGCGAGUUUGCGGUGUGUUGCGAGGUUAACCCGAGUGGGGAAGCCGUAGCGAAAGCGAGUCCGAACAGGGCGAUUCAGUAGCGCGCUCAAGACCCGAAGCGGAGUGAUCUAGCCAUGGGCAGGUUGAAGCGGAGGUAAGACUUCGUGGAGGACCGAACCCACCAGGGUUGAAAACCUGGGGGAUGACCUGUGGUUAGGGGUGAAAGGCCAAUCAAACUCCGUGAUAGCUGGUUCUCCCCGAAAUGCAUUUAGGUGCAGCGUCGUGUGUUUCUUGCCGGAGGUAGAGCACUGGAUAGGCGAUGGGCCCUACCGGGUUACUGACCUUAGCCAAACUCCGAAUGCCGGUAAGUGAGAGCGCGGCAGUGAGACUGUGGGGGAUAAGCUCCAUGGUCGAGAGGGAAACAGCCCAGAGCAUCGACUAAGGCCCCUAAGCGUACGCUAAGUGGGAAAGGAUGUGGAGUCGCACAGACAACCAGGAGGUUGGCUUAGAAGCAGCCACCCUUGAAAGAGUGCGUAAUAGCUCACUGGUCUAGUGAUUCCGCGCCGACAAUGUAGCGGGGCUCAAGCGUACCGCCGAAGUCGUGUCAUUGCAGCAUGUACGGCCAACGCCGGCUGUGAUGGGUAGGGGAGCGUCGUCUGCCGGGUGAAGCGGCACCGGAAGGUAGUCGUGGACGGUUGACGAGUGAGAAUGCAGGCAUGAGUAGCGAUUCACACGUGAGAAACGUGUGCGCCGAUUGACUAAGGGUUCCUGGGUCAAGCUGAUCUGCCCAGGGUAAGUCGGGACCUAAGGCGAGGCCGACAGGCGUAGUCGAUGGAUAACCGGUUGAUAUUCCGGUACCCGCUGUGAAGCGUCAAACAUCGAAUCCAGUGAUGCUAAGCCCGUGAAGCCGCCCUGAUCUCUUCGGAGUUGAGGGGAGUGGUGGAGCCGGUGACCCGAGCUGGUAGUAGGUGAGUGAUGGGGUGACGCAGGAAGGUAGUCCAUCCCGGGCGGUGGUUGUCCCGGGGUAAGGGUGUAGGCCGGUGUGUAGGUAAAUCCGCACACCUUGUGGCUGAGACCUGAUGCCGAGCCGAUUGUGGUGAAGUGGAUGAUCCUAUGCUGUCGAGAAAAGCCUCUAGCGAGUUUCAUGGCGGCCCGUACCCUAAACCGACUCAGGUGGUCAGGUAGAGAAUACCGAGGCGUUCGGGUGAACUAUGGUUAAGGAACUCGGCAAAAUGCCCCCGUAACUUCGGGAGAAGGGGGGCCACAUCCGGUGAGGGAACGUGCUUCCUGAGCUGGGGGUGGCCGCAGAGACCAGCGAGAAGCGACUGUUUACUAAAAACACAGGUCCGUGCGAAGCCGUAAGGCGAUGUAUACGGACUGACGCCUGCCCGGUGCUGGAACGUUAAGGGGACCGGUUAGCUCCAUUUCGGUGGGGCGAAGCUGAGAACUUAAGCGCCAGUAAACGGCGGUGGUAACUAUAACCAUCCUAAGGUAGCGAAAUUCCUUGUCGGGUAAGUUCCGACCUGCACGAAUGGCGUAACGACUUCUCGACUGUCUCAACCAUAGGCCCGGUGAAAUUGCACUACGAGUAAAGAUGCUCGUUUCGCGCAGCAGGACGGAAAGACCCCGGGACCUUUACUACAGUUUGAUAUUGGUGUUCGGUUCGGCUUGUGUAGGAUAGGUGGGAGACUGUGAAGCGGGCACGCCAGUGUUCGUGGAGUCGCCGUUGAAAUACCACUCUGGUCGUGCUGGAUGUCUAACCUGGGUCCGUGAUCCGGAUCAGGGACAGUGUCUGAUGGGUAGUUUAACUGGGGCGGUUGCCUCCUAAAGAGUAACGGAGGCGCCCAAAGGUUCCCUCAGCCUGGUUGGCAAUCAGGUGUUGAGUGUAAGUGCACAAGGGAGCUUGACUGUGAGACCGACGGGUCGAGCAGGGACGAAAGUCGGGACUAGUGAUCCGGCGGUGGCUUGUGGAAGCGCCGUCGCUCAACGGAUAAAAGGUACCCCGGGGAUAACAGGCUGAUCUUCCCCAAGAGUCCAUAUCGACGGGAUGGUUUGGCACCUCGAUGUCGGCUCGUCGCAUCCUGGGGCUGGAGUCGGUCCCAAGGGUUGGGCUGUUCGCCCAUUAAAGCGGUACGCGAGCUGGGUUUAGAACGUCGUGAGACAGUUCGGUCCCUAUCCGCUGUGCGCGUAGGAGUCUUGAGAAGGGCUGUCCCUAGUACGAGAGGACCGGGACGGACGAACCUCUGGUGUGCCAGUUGUCCUGCCAAGGGCAUGGCUGGUUGGCUACGUUCGGGAGGGAUAACCGCUGAAAGCAUCUAAGCGGGAAGCCUGCUUCGAGAUGAGGACUCCCACCCACUUGAUGGGGUAAGGCUCCCAGUAGACGACUGGGUUGAUAGGCCGGAUCUGGAAGCACGGUAACGUGUGGAGGUGACCGGUACUAAUAGGCCGAGGGCUUGUCCUC
rnacentral:rRNA from 1 species